CCAGCACGUGCAGGUCGGGCAAGCAAGGUAUGAGAGUUAUCGAGUCGCUCGUUGUCGUUACUCUUCUGGCUAGCAAAAUCACUGCUAGUACAGAUGGAGAUGCAAGCAGUGAAGUGUGCGCUGGAGAGAAAGGCGACAAGGGGGAGACAGGCCAUCCGGGAUCUUCUGGACUAAGAGGAUACAAAGGAGAGAAAGGUGAAACUGGAGGUUCUGGUAAUAAUGGAGUUAAGG